rnacentral:rRNA from 1 species
GGUGUUAAUCCCGGANAANUUUUUUGGGGUCCAUCCCUUGGAGAAGAAAGGGGAAACCCGCUUAUGGAUGGAUCCGCGUCCCAUUAGCUAGUUGGUGGGGUAACGGCCUACCAAGGCGACGAUGGGUAGCCGGCCUGAGAGGGUGGCCGGCCACACUGGGACUGAGACACGGCCCAGACUCCUACGGGAGGCAGCAGUGGGGAAUCUUCCGCAAUGGGCGAAAGCCUGACGGAGCAACGCCGCGUGAGUGACGAAGGCCCU